rnacentral:rRNA from 1 species
AGAGUUUGAUCAUGGCUCAGGAUGAACGCUAGCGGCAGGCUUAACACAUGCAAGUCGAGGGGUAGAAGCAGCUUGCUGCUUUGAGACCGGCGCACGGGUGCGUAACGCGUAUACAAUCUACCUUUUACAGAGGGAUAGCCCAGAGAAAUUUGGAUUAAUACCUCAUAGUAUUUUCGAAUCGCAUGGUUUGAUUAUUAAAGUUCCAACGGUAAAAGAUGAGUAUGCGUCCCAUUAGCUAGAUGGUAAGGUAACGGCUUACCAUGGCAACGAUGGGUAGGGGUCCUGAGAGGGAGAUCCCCCACACUGGUACUGAGACACGGACCAGACUCCUACGGGAGGCAGCAGUGAGGAAUAUUGGACAAUGGGCGCAAGCCUGAUCCAGCCAUGCCGCGUGCAGGAAGACGGUCCUAUGGAUUGUAAACUGCUUUUAUACAGGAAGAAACACACCCUCGUGAGGGUACUUGACGGUACUGUAUGAAUAAGCAUCGGCUAAACUCCGUGCCAGCAGCCGCGGUAAUACUGAGGAUGCAAGCGUUAUCCGGAAUCCUUGGGUUUAAAGGGUCC